rnacentral:rRNA from 1 species
GAGGGCCUACGGGGGGCAGCAGUGGGGAAUAUUGCGCAAUGGGCGAAAGCCUGACGCAGCGACGCCGCGUGAGGGAUGAAGGUCUUCGGAUCGGAAACCUCUGUCAGCAGGGAAGAACGGUCACUGUGCUAAUCAGCAGUGAAUUGACGGUACCUGCAAAGGAAGCACCGGCUAACUCCGUGCCAGCAGCCGCGGGAAUACGGAGGGUGCGAGCGUUAAUCGGAAUUACUGGGCGUAAAGCGCUUGUAGGCGGUAUGUCAAGUCAAGGGGGAAAUCCCCGCGCGCAACGGGGGA